rnacentral:rRNA from 1 species
UACAGAGGGGGGCAAUCGUUGUUCGGAAUUACUGGGGCGUAAAGGGCGCGUAGGCGGCCUUCUAAGUCAGACGUGAAAUCCCUCGGCUCAACCGGGGAACUGCGUCUGAUACUGGGAGGCUUGAAUCCGGGAGAGGAAUGCGGAAUUCCAGGUGUAGCGGUGAAAUGCGUAGAUAUCUGGAGGAACACCGGUGGCGAAGGCGGCGUCCUGGACCAACACUGACACUGAUGAGCGAAAGCCAGGGGAGCAAACGGGG